rnacentral:rRNA from 1 species
CAGUAGCCGCGGUAAUACGAGGGGGGCAAGCGUUGUUCGGAAUUAUUGGGCGUAAAGGGUGCGUAGGCGGUUUCGUAAGUCUUAUGUGAAAUCUACGGGCUCAACCCAUAGUCUGCAUGGGAAACUGCGAGGCUUGAGGAUGGGAGAGGUGAGUGGAAUUUCCGGUGUAGCGGUGAAAUGCGUAGAUAUCAGAAGGAACACCUGUGGCGAAAGCGGCUCACUGGACCAUUUCUGACGCUGAUGCACGAAAGCUAGGGGAGCAAACAGGAUUAGAUACCCCCGUAGUCCCUGUCUCUUAUAC